rnacentral:rRNA from 1 species
AGAGUUUGAUCCUGGCUCAGAACGAACGCUGGCGGCAGGCCUAACACAUGCAAGUCGAGCGCGCCUUUCGGGUGAGCGGCGGACGGGUUAGUAACGCGUGGGAACGUGCCCUUCUCUACGGAAUAGCCUCUGGAAACGGAGAGUAAUACCGUAUACGCCCUUUGGGGGAAAGAUUUAUCGGAGAAGGAUCGGCCCGCGUUAGAUUAGGUAGUUGGUGGGGUAACGGCCUACCAAGCCUACGAUCUAUAGCUGGUUUUAGAGGAUGAUCAGCAACACUGGGACUGAGACACGGCCCAGACUCCUACGGGAGGCAGCAGUGGGGAAUCUUAGACAAUGGGGGCAACCCUGAUCUAGCCAUGCCGCGUGAGUGAUGAAGGCCUUAGGGUCGUAAAGCUCUUUCGCCUGUGAUGAUAAUGACAGUAGCAGGUAAAGAAACCCCGGCUAACUCCGUGCCAGCAGCCGCGGUAAUACGGAGGGGGUUAGCGUUGUUCGGAAUUACUGGGCGUAAAGCGCGCGUAGGCGGAUUAGAAAGUUGGGGGUGAAAUCCCGGGGCUCAACCCCGGAACUGCCUCCAAAACUGCUAGUCUAGAGUUCGAGAGAGGUGAGUGGAAUUCCGAGUGUAGAGGUGAAAUUCGUAGAUAUUCGGAGGAACACCAGUGGCGAAGGCGGCUCACUGGCUCGAUACUGACGCUGAGGUGCGAAAGUGUGGGGAGCAAACAGGAUUAGAUACCCUGGUAGUCCACACCGUAAACGAUGAAUGCCAGUCGUCGGGUAGUAUACUAUUCGGUGACACACCUAACGGAUUAAGCAUUCCGCCUGGGGAGUACGGUCGCAAGAUUAAAACUCAAAGGAAUUGACGG